ACACAGUACGUAACUAGUUCAAAGAAAAAUGGCGAAACUUAAAACAACAGUUUUUAUAGUCGUCCUCUUCCACUUUGUUCUGGAUGUGUAUGGCUUGUCGUCAGACGACACCUGCAUAGAGAGGCUUGAUAAUCUAGAGAAACUAUUGGCAAACCUAAAUGAGAAACUCGAAAACCAUCAAGCGGAAAAAACCAAAGAUGACGCGAUGUUCAAGGAUAUUCAAGACGAAAAUAGUUACCUGAAAAGGAGAAUGAAAUCUUUAGAAGAAAUAGUUCUUACCUCGAGUCGCCGGACGGAGAAACUUGAAGCUAGGAUUGCAGAUUUAGAAUCUUCAAACUGGUUUCUGAAAUCCAUAAUGACUUCAGCAAACACUAACUUUAGAUUCAAUAAGAAAUAUUCGAGUACUUUAUUUGGAAAUUUCAAAACAGACGAUUUAAGGAAAGAAAACAAGACUACCAAUCCACCGACAACUCACGGUAACGAGAAGAUGAUACAAAUCCAAACUGCAUCGGUAAAACGCAAAAUUAGUCAGUUGGAGAAAAACCAAAGUGCAUCAAAAGAAAAACGUCUUCUGACAGGGAUCCAGUCAACCCCCACCCCAUUCCCAGGUGGUGCUGCAUUUUCUGCAUACGUGUCUGUUUCUCAAACAGACAUAUCUAAGGAUUUCACCAUUCACUUUGACACCAUUUUAACAAACAUCGGCAACCAUUAUAACAAACAUUCAGGAACAUUCAUGGCGCCACAACACGGUGUUUACGUAUUUACGUGGAAUCUCUACUGUCAUGCGGAAGGUUACAUCUAUUCUCAGCUUGUUGUGAACUCUAAUGUAGUUGGGACUAUGUUUACAAGCGCACAGGGUGCUUCUAAUAUUAGAAGUCCUACUGGUAUUGUGGUUGUGGAGGUGAAUCAGGGAGAUGUGGUAUUUGUACGGACUCACCCUACAAAUGGUCACGUCGGGAAUCUCUACAGUUACACAGACUAUCGAUCAUCCUUCAAUGGCUGGAAACUGUACUAACAUGCGUCAAUAAAAACGUAUUCUCUACAA
rnacentral:misc_RNA from 1 species